GAGUAGGGCGGGACACGUGGUAUCCUGUCUGAAUAUGGGGGGACCAUCCUCCAAGGCUAAAUACUCCUGACUGACCGAUAGUGAACCAGUACCGUGAGGGAAAGGCGAAAAGAACCCCGGCGAGGGGAGUGAAAAAGAACCUGAAACCGUGUACGUACAAGCAGUGGGAGCACGCUUAGGCGUGUGACUGCGUACCUUUUGUAUAAUGGGUCAGCGACUUAUAUUCUGUAGCAAGGUUAACCGAAUAGGGGAGCCGAAGGGAAACCGAGUCUUAACUGGGCGUUAAGUUGCAGGGUAUAGACCCGAAACCCGGUGAUCUAGCCAUGGGCAGGUUGAAGGUUGGGUAACACUAACUGGAGGACCGAACCGACUAAUGUUGAAAAAUUAGCGGAUGACUUGUGGCUGGGGGUGAAAGGCCAAUCAAACCGGGAGAUAGCUGGUUCUCCCCGAAAGCUAUUUAGGUAGCGCCUCGUGAAUUCAUCUCCGGGGGUAGAGCACUGUUUCGGCAAGGGGGUCAUCCCGACUUACCAACCCGAUGCAAACUGCGAAUACCGGAGAAUGUUAUCACGGGAGACACACGGCGGGUGCUAACGUCCGUCGUGAAGAGGGAAACAACCCAGACCGCCAGCUAAGGUCCCAAAGUCAUGGUUAAGUGGGAAACGAUGUGGGAAGGCCCAGACAGCCAGGAUGUUGGCUUAGAAGCAGCCAUCAUUUAAAGAAAGCGUAAUAGCUCACUGGUCGAGUCGGCCUGCGCGGAAGAUGUAACGGGGCUAAACCAUGCACCGAAGCUGCGGCAGCGACGCUUAUGCGUUGUUGGGUAGGGGAGCGUUCUGUAAGCCUGCGAAGGUGUGCUGUGAGGCAUGCUGGAGGUAUCAGAAGUGCGAAUGCUGACAUAAGUAACGAUAAAGCGGGUGAAAAGCCCGCUCGCCGGAAGACCAAGGGUUCCUGUCCAACGUUAAUCGGGGCAGGGUGAGUCGACCCCUAAGGCGAGGCCGAAAGGCGUAGUCGAUGGGAAACAGGUUAAUAUUCCUGUACUUGGUGUUACUGCGAAGGGGGGACGGAGAAGGCUAUGUUGGCCGGGCGACGGUUGUCCCGGUUUAAGCGUGUAGGCUGGUUUUCCAGGCAAAUCCGGAAAAUCAAGGCUGAGGCGUGAUGACGAGGCACUACGGUGCUGAAGCAACAAAUGCCCUGCUUCCAGGAAAAGCCUCUAAGCAUCAGGUAACAUCAAAUCGUACCCCAAACCGACACAGGUGGUCAGGUAGAGAAUACCAAGGCGCUUGAGAGAACUCGGGUGAAGGAACUAGGCAAAAUGGUGCCGUAACUUCGGGAGAAGGCACGCUGAUAUGUAGGUGAAGUCCCUUGCGGAUGGAGCUGAAAUCAGUCGAAGAUACCAGCUGGCUGCAACUGUUUAUUAAAAACACAGCACUGUGCAAACACGAAAGUGGACGUAUACGGUGUGACGCCUGCCCGGUGCCGGAAGGUUAAUUGAUGGGGUCAGCGCAAGCGAAGCUCUUGAUCGAAGCCCCGGUAAACGGCGGCCGUAACUAUAACGGUCCUAAGGUAGCGAAAUUCCUUGUCGGGUAAGUUCCGACCUGCACGAAUGGCGUAAUGAUGGCCAGGCUGUCUCCACCCGAGACUCAGUGAAAUUGAACUCGCUGUGAAGAUGCAGUGUACCCGCGGCAAGACGGAAAGACCCCGUGAACCUUUACUAUAGCUUGACACUGAACAUUGAGCCUUGAUGUGUAGGAUAGGUGGGAGGCUUUGAAGUGUGGACGCCAGUCUGCAUGGAGCCGGCCUUGAAAUACCACCCUUUAAUGUUUGAUGUUCUAACGUGGACCCGUGAUCCGGGUUGCGGACAGUGUCUGGUGGGUAGUUUGACUGGGGCGGUCUCCUCCUAAAGAGUAACGGAGGAGCACGAAGGUUGGCUAAUCCUGGUCGGACAUCAGGAGGUUAGUGCAAUGGCAUAAGCCAGCUUGACUGCGAGCGUGACGGCGCGAGCAGGUGCGAAAGCAGGUCAUAGUGAUCCGGUGGUUCUGAAUGGAAGGGCCAUCGCUCAACGGAUAAAAGGUACUCCGGGGAUAACAGGCUGAUACCGCCCAAGAGUUCAUAUCGACGGCGGUGUUUGGCACCUCGAUGUCGGCUCAUCACAUCCUGGGGCUGAAGUAGGUCCCAAGGGUAUGGCUGUUCGCCAUUUAAAGUGGUACGCGAGCUGGGUUUAGAACGUCGUGAGACAGUUCGGUCCCUAUCUGCCGUGGGCGCUGGAGAACUGAGGGGGGCUGCUCCUAGUACGAGAGGACCGGAGUGGACGCAUCACUGGUGUUCGGGUUGUCAUGCCAAUGGCACUGCCCGGUAGCUAAAUGCGGAAGAGAUAAGUGCUGAAAGCAUCUAAGCACGAAACUUGCCCCGAGAUGAGUUCUCCCUGACCCUUUAAGGGUCCUGAAGGAACGUUGAAGACGACGACGUUGAUAGGCCGGGUGUGUAAGCGCAGCGAUGCGUUGAGCUAACCGGUACUAAUGAACCGUGAGGCUUAACCUU
rnacentral:rRNA from 1 species